rnacentral:rRNA from 1 species
UACGUAGGGUGCAAGCGUUGUCCGGAAUUAUUGGGCGUAAAGAGCUUGUAGGCGGUUUGUCGCGUCUGCUGUGAACUUUCGGGGCUCAACCCCGAACUUGCAGUGGGUACGGGCAGACUAGAGUGUGGUAGGGGAGACUGGAAUUCCUGGUGUAGCGGUGAAAUGCGCAGAUAUCAGGAGGAACACCGGUGGCGAAGGCGGAUCUCUGGGCCAUUACUGACGCUGAGGAGCGAAAGCGUGGGGAGCGAACAGG